AGAGGACCAGAUUGAAGAAGCAGGCAAAAACUACUAAACAAGAAUGGCUUGUCAAACAGACUGUAGCUAAUGCAGAUAAACAGGAAAGCCUACCAGUACAACCAGAUUUUAACAAGGAGAAUGAGAACAUUUCUUCUAUGGCUAUUGUUCAAUAGAAUGCACCACCAGGCCCUGACAUCCAGGAAAGGCUUGAGGCAGUAGUCAAUGCACCCAAUGGUAACCGAGAAGUCAUGGUUGAUAACUGCAAUAAAGGAAAGGCUACUAUUGUUAUAGUAGAUGUUUGUAGAAGGGGUCAACAGAUUGAUCCGGGGCCUUCUAAGAGAUUAUCC
rnacentral:lncRNA from 1 species